rnacentral:misc_RNA from 1 species
CUUGAUAGAAAUGUUUUGUGUCAAUAAAAUGUAGGUGUCCAGCUCUGUGAUAAAUAUAUGUUUCUACCGAAAAUGUGCCCUCUUUCGAUAAAAUGAUGUACAUUCUGCCAUUUUUGGCCGGUGUUUCGGCGGUCUCAUGUAUUUAUUGUUUCUGCUUUAGAAGAAGAUGUUAACGAUCAAGUUAUUUCCAUCAUUGGUACAGAAUCAUCGUAAACGUGUGCAUCGGACAGCGGCGACAGCAAAGCGUCCAUGUUUUUCACACAUUCCUGUGGGAUCACGAACGGGACGCCUUUGCUGCGUACAACUAUGAAAACCCUCACAUCUUUGCAAACGUUGUCGUUUAUGGAGUUUAUUUAGACUAAAUAGUGAAAUAAAUAGUUUAAAUGAA